UCUGCCUUAUCGGCAAGCGGUCUCAUUAGAGUGCCCAACUGAAUGCUGGCAACUAAUGACAAGGGUUGCGCUCGUUGCGGGACUUAACCCAACAUCUCACGACACGAGCUGACGACAGCCAUGCAGCACCUGUCACCGCGUCCCCGAAGGGAUUUCACCACUUUCAUGGCUAUGCGCGGGAUGUCAAGCCUAGGUAAGGUUUUGCGCGUUGCAUCGAAUUGAACCACAUAAUCCACCGCUUGUGCGGGCCCCCGUCAAUUUCUUUGAGUUUUAAUCUUGCGACCGUACUUCCCAGGCGGGGUACUUAACGCGUUAGCUGCGACACUGGGAGGGUAAGAACUCCCAACAUCUAGUACCCAUCGUUUAUGGUGUGGACUAC
rnacentral:misc_RNA from 1 species